AACGAACGCUGGCGGCAUGCCUAACACAUGCAAGUCGAACGAGACCUUCGGGUCUAGUGGCGCACGGGUGCGUAACGCGUGGGAACCUGCCCUUAGGUUCGGAAUAACUCCCCGAAAGGGGUGCUAAUAACGGAUAAUGUCUUCGGACCAAAGAUUUAUCGCGUUUGGAUGGGCCCGCGUUGGAUUGGCUGGUUGGUAGGGUAAAAGCCUACCAUGGCGACGAUCCAUAGCUGGUCUGAGAGGAGGAUAAGCCACACUGGAACUGAGGCACGGCCCAGACUCGUACGGAGGGGAGCAGAAGGGAGUAUUGGAGGAGGAGGGAAGACCUGAUCCAGCAGUGCCGGGUGAGUGAUGAAGGCCUUAGGGUUGUAAAGCUCUUUUACCCGAGAUGAUAAUGACAGUACCGGGAGAAUAAGCACCGGCUAACUCCGUG
rnacentral:rRNA from 1 species